CUCCAGUUGUCGGUAGGUCUACUCUAGAACUUUCUCCAGUUGUCGGUAGGUCUGCUCUAGAACUUUCUCCUGUUGUCGGUAGGUCUGCUCUAGAACUUUCUCCAGUUGUCGGUAGGUCUGCUCUAGAACUUUCUCCAGUUGUCGGUAGGUCUGCUCUAGAACUUUCUCCAGUUGUCGGUAGGUCUGCUCUAGAACUUUCUCCAGUUGUCGGUAGGUCUACUCUAGAACUUUCUCCAGUUGUCGGUAGGUCUACUCUAGAACUUUCUCCAGUUGUCGGUAGGUCUACUCUAGAACUUUCUCCAGUUGUCGGUAGGUCUACUCUAGAACUUUCUCCAGUUGUCGGUAGGUCUACUCUAGAACUUUCUCCAGUUGUCAGUAGGUCUACUCUAGAACUUUCUCCAGGGGACGUUCUCCUUUCCUGCUUCCAGUCUUUUAGUCUCACUUAGAACAUUCCAGGUCCUUGAAGUCCAUAGAGG